rnacentral:ncRNA from 2 species
GUGGUUUUUAUAUACAUAUAAAUGACAAAUUGAUUUAUAUUAAAGAGGGGAAGCAGGUGAAACUCCUGUGCGGUGCCGCCACUGUGAAUGCCUAGUUACAAUUGGUUUUACUAGGAGUUUUGCUAGUAGAGUAAGUGUAACAUUCAGGUUCAGCCAGAAUACCUUUAUAUAAUACUCACCCAGG